rnacentral:rRNA from 1 species
UACGGGGGGGGCAAGCGUUGUUCGGAAUUACUGGGCGUAAAGGGCUCGUAGGCGGCCUUCUAAGUCGAACGUGAAAUCCCUGGGCUCAACCCAGGAACUGCGUCCGAUACUGGAAGGCUUGAGUACCAAAGAGGAUCGCGGAAUUCCCGGUGUAGAGGUGAAAUUCGUAGAUAUCGGGAGGAACACCAGUGGCGAAGGCGGCGAUCUGGGUGGAUACUGACGCUGAGGUGCGAAAGCGUGGGGAGCAAACAGG